CGGUAAUUCCAGCUCCAGGAGUGUCUAUGGUUUUUGCUGCGAUUAAAAGGUCCGUAGUCAGUAUUUACGAUGAGUGUGUAAAAUAUGUGGUCAAUACAUAUGAAUAUUUAUACCGUGAAUUAAAUUGGGAGCGGCCAGAGGGUAAGGAAUCGGGAGACGAGGGGUGAAAUCUGAUGACUCUUCCGGGGCGAUCGGAGGCGAAGGCGUUACCCAGGUGCGAUUCUGACGAUCAAGGACGUAGGCUGGAGGAUCGAACACGAUUAGAUACCGUAGUAGUUCCAGCAGUAAACUAUAUAUAUGCCGAUGCACGUUUAUUUUUUGUGUGUCGGAAGGGAAACUAAAUAGUAUUUCGGGGAGAGUACGCGCGCAAGCGAUAAAUUUAAACGAAAUUGACGGAAGAACACCACAAGGAGUGGAGUGUGCGGCUUAAUUUGACUCAAUGCGGGACAGCUUACCAGGGCAGAGGAUUGUACGAGCGAAUACGCGAUAAAUCUGGGAGUGGUGCAUGGCCGUUAUAGAUGGGUGUAGUUAUAUAUUUGUUAAUUUAUGUAAUGUUUUGUGAGACGUACGUUAUAAGCAUAUUAAUAUGUUUAUCAGACAGGUAUUAAAGAUACAGGAAGGAGUACGCAAGAACAGGUCAGUGAUGCCCUCAGAUGUCCUGGGCUGCACGCGCACUACAUUAGCUAAGAUAAUGUUUUUAUAGAGUGAAAUUUAGUUAUGAGGGAUUGGGCGCUGUAAGGCGCGCAUGAACGUGGAAUUGCUAGUAAUCGUGAGUUCAGUAGAGCGCGAUGAAUGUGUCCCUGUUCUUUGUACACACCGCCCGUCGUUAUCGAAGAUGGGGCUGCGUACAAACGAAUUUUGAUGAGUGAGUGCGUGGUUCUAGAUCUGAUACAAGUCGUAACAAGGUAACC
rnacentral:rRNA from 1 species